CCUACGGGAGGCAGCAGUGAGGAAUAUUGGUCAAUGGACGUAAGUCUGAACCAGCCAUGCCGCGUGCAGGAUGACGGCUCUAUGAGUUGUAAACUGCUUUUGUACGAGGGUAAACGCAGAUACGCGUAUCUUUCUGAAAGUAUCUUACGAAUAAGGAUCGGCUAACUCCGUGCCAGCAGCCGCGGUAAUACGGAGGAUUCAAGCGUUAUCCGGAUUUAUUGGGUUUAAAGGGUGCGUAGGCGGUCGGAUAAGUUAGAGGUGCAAUCCCGUGGCUCAACUUAGGAAUUGCCUGUGAUAAUUGUCGGCUAGGGAGUAGUUGCGGUAGGCGGAAUGUAUGGUGUAGCGGUGAAAUGCUUAGAGAUCAUACAGAACACCGAUUGCGAAGGCAGCUUACCAAGCUACGUCUGACGUUGAGGCACGAAAGCGUGGGGAGCAAACAGGAUUAGAUACCCGAGUAGUC
rnacentral:rRNA from 1 species